rnacentral:pre_miRNA from 1 species
UUUUCGUUUUUCCGUGUCCAACGUUUGACCAUUGGUCUUAUUUGAAAUUUUUUUACGAUUAAUAUUUUUAUUAUUACUAGAUGAUAAAAUAUGAAUAGUAUUUUAUAUGUGACUAAUUUUUUUAGGUUUUUGCAUAAAUUUUUUAAAUAAAACGAAUGAUCAAACGUUAGACACGGAAAAACGAAAAAUGAAGUUAUU